CCGGCCGGACUGAUCUGCUUUUUUUGUUUAUCACUCGGAUCGAACCGCUGAAACAAAUCGAGAGACCGUGCCUCCACCGCCAUCGCCGUCUCUUCGACGACGCCGGGCGAUCGGCCCCUACACCAAAGCCAUCCAGCAUUGGAAGACGUCAUCGAGGGCCACUCCUGCAGACACAGUCAUUACAUUAGUAAAGCUUGCGAGGCCAACAUUGGAGGCUGCUCGAUCGGUUCACUUGCAAACAAUGCCAUCUUAUCUGAGAAGAUCCAGGAACAUUCUUGUCCCAUCGAUUCAAGUCAACACUAGCUAAAAUUUUCCCACCAAUUUGAACAGCUACGCAAAUCUCUUAACUUCUUCUUCUUUCCAUCAACAGUGUGUAUUUAUUUAUGGUUUUGUUUCAUGCAAAUUGGCACCCAGAUCCAAUUCUCAUUUCACAGAACAUUUAGUAAAUAAUUCCUAAAUGUUGGUUAAGAUACAUGAUGAAAUCUUUGUGUGCCAAAUACACUGUACUCUUGCUUUUUUUUUUUUUGGCAAAAACAGAGCCUGAUGUAGAGUAUGGUUUUUUAUGUGGUAUGGCAAUGAUUUGGUAUUGUGCAAUUACUGGAGAAUGAAUUCUCUCUCUUCAUAUCUAUCUAUCUAUCUAUCAGUAGGUUUAUAUAUUAUUGUUAAACACACAUUCUGUCACGGAACAAGAGAUCCUUCCAUCAUAAAACAAAAGCACUGCUGAUAGCAAUAUUAUUUCGUUGCAUUGGCUACACUCAACUCUCGAUUACCUUUAAUAGAAGAUUACAAUGAUUUCAUAGUUUGCCACAAUCGAAGUCAGCCAUACUCAUGUACUUCUUUGUCAAUGCACCAGCCAAAACCUGGUCUCUCAGGAGACGGGCGGCCCAGCUGCCGCCUUGUUGUACGAUCCCUAUCACAUAACCAGUGGCGACAAGCUCAAAGCCCCUCCAUCUCCUGGCGUCGGCAUACUUCUUCAGUGCUGCCUCGACCCUGCUGCCUUCGUCUUCUUCUCCGCCUCCCUCCCGUCCGCCGAUGAGAGCUUCGCCUAAGCACUUGGCCAGAACAACUCCGUCUUCCAGCGCCGAGCAGCCGCCUUGGCCGAGGUCGGGAGUCAUGGGAUGGAACGCGUCCCCGGUCACGCAGACGUUCCCUCUGCUGAUGUCACCCCACAGCAGGUUGAACGGGGAUCUGUAUCUCAAGUGAGCGGACGCUACGCUGCUCAGCUCGCUCCUCUCUAUUACCUGUGACGCACAUAAAAGAUCGUCCGUACCUUGGCUUUGAGCGUGGAUCCAUCUGCCAAGUGGAGGAGUUUGAAUCGACCUGCGUCCUCCAUGGAGACCACCUUGGACGAGUACCUGAUGGUACCUUGUGGAAGCUCCUUGGCUAGGGCUUCGACCAGUAGGUUUCUUCUGACGCAACGAACCUCGUCAUCCCCACUACUUGGAAGAGAGAAGAAUUAGAACCAGCUCUCGAGCAUAAGGAAAGAAGAAGAUUUUGGGAGGUUUCGCUCACCGUUUCUUUGAUUCCUUGAUUGCUAAUGUCGAGGUGAUUGACCCAGAAGACGCAGAGAAAGAGACCAACCUGCAAAGGCCAAAUGCCUGUGAAGCCAAUCACAUCUGCGAAGAUUAUGGACGCUCGUGUUCGUCGCUUACGCUUCGAGCCGGACGUGCUGCUUCCGGAGCGUGUCUCCGACGCCGAGAGCGUCCAGCGCUCUCCACGCGUUGGCCCACGUCGACAGGGCGAAGCCAGCAGCCCGCAAGGUAUCGGAUGACUCCAACACCAGACAGCGCACCCCGAGCCUGCAUUGGAAGGGCAUUUCAUCGAUCAGCUAGUGCUCAUCCUGACUCCAUUAAGGUGUUCGAGGUCGAUCGGUACCUGUGCAGUCCCACGGCCGCCGCGAGCCCCGCCAGCCCGGCGCCGACGAUGACGAUGCCCUCCACGGCCUCCAUUCUCGUUUGUAUCAGGCAAUGGUGAUGCAGAGAAGGAGGAGCCCGAGGAGGAGAUAAAUAGAAGGGAGGUGUGAGGUCAGUGCUGAUGGUGGGAGACGAAUCUGCCGUGCCGACAAAGAGAUGCGGGCAUAGCCGCCAAGUCUGGCCAAAACAUUGAGUGGUCGAUUUGGGCAGCUCCAGCGAUGAAUCAUCAGAAGCGGCCGAGCUUUGGAUGAUGGCGAGAGCAACAGCGAGACACUGAUCCAAUAGCGUGUGGCGGCUAUGGAUGUCGCGAUCGAGGAGAAGAAUCGAAGGCGGGUCCCAGUUGCUCCGCCAACUGCAAGGCGGGUAGUUGGCGACGGUUCGUGGCGCUUCGUGCGUCAAAGUUUGUCAAUGGUGUCGGGAUUAAGUCAAAAUUGGGUGAGCAAUUAAGUAGAGAGUCAAAAAAAAAAAAAAAUGAUUUUGAUGUUGCACACCAUAAGCAAGUAGGAUCACCAUUGAACAAGGAAAUGCCAAAAUGUUUGUUAUAUUUGUAAGAUUAAAUUGUAUUCAUUACAUCAACAGUACACUAAACACUAAAUUGUCUGAAUAAAUAUUUUGAAGACU